UCCCCAAAAACUAUGCAUGGGGGCUUGCUUUGGUGUUGCCACCCCUCAUAGGCCCCAUGCCACCCUAAAAAUCAUUUUCUAUAUCCGCCCCUGGUUGUGUCUAAAAUGAAAGUAAAACGGUUGAGAGAAACGGAUGCGUGCCGCUCUUAAAGCGACAGUACUGAACAUGCUGCCGCUUGUCAUUAAAGCGAUAAGUGUUGCCAGAUUGA